CGGUGCACCGAGUCUGAGCUAAGGUGCUGGGCGGCUCUCACCGCGUUCCUGCGGGUCCUCGUGGUGGCGCCGCGGGUAAGGCGGAGGCUCCGGGGCCCUGUGUCCCUUUCUUUGGAGCGUGCCCGCAGCCACAGGCCUUCUGGAGCCGCGGCCGGCCCCAACAGUGCGGGAAGUCGUCCUAAUCCGAGCCCCUUCGCCUUCGUUCGGUGGCAGCCUCGGCCCCCUUCCCAGCCCAAGGGACCGGGUCAGAGCAGGAGGCUCUAGGCCAGACGAGGAAGGGGGUCCGGUGGGUUGAUGUGCUCGCUGCUCUCCCUGCCCGAGAUCCGGGGUCUCGCCUGGCCAGGUCCCACCCGCAGAGGCGCAGAUCCGUUGUUCCGGCACUGACCUGUUUAUCCUCCACACCCGUUCCACCAGGCUGGCAUUUAAUCCAGCAGCAAAUGAGGGGUGUGGAGAGGAUGCCCAAACUUCAGGGUUUUGAAUUUUGGAGCCGCACCCUGGGAGGUGCUCGACAUGUGGUAGCACCCAUGGUGGACCAGAGUGAGCUGGCUUGGAGACUGCUGAGCCGCCGCCAUGGAGCCCAGCUAUGCUACACCCCUAUGCUGCAUGCCCAGGUCUUUGUCAGAGAUGCUAACUACCGGAAGGAGAACCUGUACUGUGAAGUGUGCCCCGAGGACAGGCCUCUCAUUGUGCAGUUCUGUGCCAAUGACCCAGAGGUGUUUGUCCAGGCGGGUCUCCUGGCACAAGAUUACUGUGAUGCCAUCGACCUGAAUUUGGGCUGCCCACAGAUGAUAGCCAAGAGAGGCCACUAUGGCGCCUUUCUGCAGGAGGAGUGGGAUCUGCUUCAGAGAAUGGUUCUGUUGGCUCAUGAGAGACUCUCUGUUCCUGUCACGUGCAAAAUCCGUGUCUUCCCUGAGAUUGACAGGACGGUGAGGUAUGCCCAGAUGCUGGAGAAGGCCGGCUGUCAGCUCCUGACUGUACAUGGGCGCACCAAGGAGCAGAAGGGGCCCAUGGCAGGGACAGCCUCCUGGGAGCACAUCAAGGCGGUCAGGAAGGCCGUGGGAAUCCCUGUGUUUGCAAAUGGGAAUAUCCGGUGCCUGCAGGAUGUGGAACAGUGUAUCCAGGACACGGGUGUGCAAGGGGUCAUGACUGCAGAGGGCAACCUGCACAACCCUGCCCUCUUUGAGGGCCGGAGCCCUGCCGUGUGGGAGCUGGCUGAGGAGUACCUGGACAUUGUACAGCAGCACCCUUGCCCGCUGUCCUACGUCCGGGCCCAUCUCUUCAAGCUGUGGCACCACACGCUGCAGGUCCAUCAGCAGCUUCGAGAGGAGCUGGCCAAAGUGAAGACCCUGGAGGGCGUGGCUGCUGUGAGCCAGGCACUAAAGCUUCGGUGUCAGGAGGACAUGUCCAGGCAGCAAGAAGGAGUGAGGCCACCUGGCAACUUACCUGCCUUCCACUGGAUCUGCCAGCCCUACAUCAGGCCUGGGCCCAGGGAAGGGAGCAAGGAGAAUAGUGGUGGCCGCAGUAAGCGGGCUCUGGAGGAGGAAGAGGGCAGCCUAGAUGGCUUGUCCAAGAACAAGCUGAAGAAGCAGCUGAGGAACCCUCACAAGACCUUCGACCCUUCCCUAAAACCUAAAUAUGCAAAGUGUGACCAGUGUGGAAAUCCAAAGGUGAGCUGGCUCUUCUGUUGCUGUGCAGGGCAACAGAUGUGUGUUUAACCUGUGCCGUGGCUGCUGUAAGAAGCGAGCAUUCAGAGAGACAGCAGAUUGCCCAGGCCAUGGACUGCUUUUUAAGACCAAAUUAGAGAAGUCUCUGGCCUGGAAAGAGACCCAGCCUGGGCUGCAGGAACCUCAGCAGGGGAGGCCCGGAACACCAGGUGGUUUCUCCGAAGUCAUGGGUAGUGCCCUGGCCUGAGAGCCAGCAAGGGCCCUCUCUACUCCAGGACAGCCACUGAAGCCUAGACACUUUUAAGGAAAUGCCUUUACUCAGGGAAUCUCCUACUUGACACAGAAGGACAGUUGGUGUCUUCAGGCACCUUGGCUGAACUUGCCCCUUUCCCACAACCUGUUUCCAGGACUGAACAAUAAACCAUUUCAGAGAUU